CAUGGGGCUGGCAGCAGCCGCUUUGAAUCCUGAAUGUCGUGACAGUAAUGAUAACAGUAAUAAUGAUAACAGCAAUGAUGAAGUCUCACAUUUAAAAUUUUCAAGUCACUCAUCACAUCCCAACUCACUCC
rnacentral:lncRNA from 1 species